AGCAAAAGUAUUCGUAUCCGCAGCCGUAGGCCAGAUUUUGUCCGUGGGCGGGACAAAUAGUUCCGCCCAGAGCUAUAGAGAGAGAGAGAGUUGCGACACUUCCAUUGGACUCCGUUGUAGCGCCUACUUCCGGGGUAUGGAGCCUCGAAUAGUUCCAAACAACCAUUUUACGGCGUAGAAGACCGUUCAUUUCCAUUGCUGGCCGCCGAGUAACUUCUGAGGGUGAUGUUCAGCACAUGAAGCCCUACAGAUGCCGCCGAUUCAACAAUGCUGAUUAUGAUGGGCGGUGAAUUUAACCUUUGCCUUAUUAGGUCCUCCACAGUCGCCCCAUCAGUCCCUGGCAGUCUGGUCCCUGGAGCAGCUGGCCCUGGCAAAAGUUAUUCCUUCACUGUUGACCCCUGACUGACUGGCCCUCGGCACACAAAUCCCUGGAUCACCUGCCACUGGAUCACCUGCCCCUGAAUCACCUGCCCCUGGCAAUGUGGCCUCUUGAUUGCUCUCUCUGUCUCCUGUGAUGUCCUUUUCAACGCUCUUGAAAUCCACCUAAAUUUCUCCCUCAAUCUCUGUAACAAUUACAAGGUAAUGUUGCUGUUAUAUGUAUUUUGCCUUUGCAUUUGCAACUACUGUCAUCUCCAAUGUAAGAAAAUGAAUUAAAGCAAAACAUUUCUGUAAUGUGAAUUAAAUCAUCUGCCACAAUCAGAAACCAAUACAAUUUAUAAAUGGAUCUACCGGCAAUUGUUAAUUGGGUAGAAAUGUGUCGAUUAUUUACAUUGUGUGCAAAUCCUCAGAGAAUCUCUGCCUUCUGGUUGUUUUUUAAACUGAAUGUACAAAUAUGAAUUAUGUAAUCUCAUUAGGAGUGUAGUCUAUCCUUGAAUUACAUGAAAUGGGGAAUAUUGUUAGCUGCAUGGAUCAUAC
ensembl:lncRNA